AGAGUUUGAUCCUGGCUCAGGAUGAACGCUGGCGGCGUGCUUAACACAUGCAAGUCGAACGAAGAUGCCGGAGUGCUUGCACUUUGGCAGACUGAGUGGCGGACGGGUGAGUAACGCGUGGGUAACCUGCCUUAUACAGGGGGAUAACAGUUGGAAACGACUGCUAAUACCGCAUAAGCGCACGGUAUCGCAUGAUACAGUGUGAAAAACUCCGGUGGUAUAAGAUGGACCCGCGUCUGAUUAGCUUGUUGGCGGGGUAACGGCCCACCAAGGCAACGAUCAGUAGGGGUUCUGAGAGGAAGGUCCCCCACAUUGGAACUGAGACACGGUCCAAACUCCUACGGGAGGCAUCA
rnacentral:rRNA from 1 species